UACAGAGGUCUCAAGCGUUGUUCGGAUUCAUUGGGCGUAAAGGGUGCGUAGGUGGCGCUGUAAGUCGGGUGUGAAAUUUCGGAGCUUAACUCCGAAACUGCAUUCGAUACUGCGGUGCUUGAGGACUGGAGAGGAGACUGGAAUUCCUGGUGUAGCAGUGAAAUGCGUAGAUAUCAGGAGGAACGCCAAUGGCGAAGGCAGCUCGCUGGGACGGUACUGACGCUAAGGCGCGAAAGCGUGGGGAGCGAACAGG
rnacentral:rRNA from 1 species